rnacentral:lncRNA from 1 species
GUCCUGGCGCCCUCCCUUCCAGGCCUGGGCCUCGCGUGGGCCUCCUCUCCCGGGUGUUUGGGCCUGGCCUCCCUCAGGGACUCCGACACAUCAUACUGCUGAGCUGAGCUGGAGGUAAUACGAGGCUGCAACACAUCCACUGCUCCCCAUUCAGGAGCAAAGGAAGGGCGGGAAGGAUGUAAGUACCCUCCGGAGGCAGGAAGAGGAGGGCAGAGGGGCCUGCAAAGAAAGGUAACUUCUGAACAAGUUCUGCGAAGAACAUCUUGUGAGAGUUUUGCCCGAGGAGUGCUCUAAGUCUAAAGUGAAUUCAAGAUGCACAGCAAUGACAACAAGAAGAAAUAAGUAGUAGAAAAAUACAUUUCAAGCUAAAUGCCUGUGCAAUUAUAAGGGGGGAAAUAAGAUUGUGCCUGAGAAAGAGACACUUGCUGAAAGUGAGAAGAAUGCUAAAGUAAUACAAAGACUAUGCUGUUCGGGAGGUUAUAUCUGUGAACCCCUGGCAUGAUAUU